rnacentral:rRNA from 1 species
UACAGAGGUCUCAAGCGUUGUCCGGAAUUAUUGGGCGUAAAGAGCUCGUAGGCGGUCUGUCGCGUCUGCUGUGAAAACCCGGGGCUCAACUCCGGGCUUGCAGUGGAUACGGGCAGACUAGAGUUCGGUAGGGGAGACUGGAAUUCCUGGUGUAGCGGUGAAAUGCGCAGAUAUCAGGAGGAACACCGGUGGCGAAGGCGGGUCUCUGGGCCGAUACUGACGCUGAGGAGCGAAAGCGUGGGGAGCGAACAGG